UGGGGAAUUUUGGACAAUGGGGGAAACCCUGAUCCAGCCAUCCCGCGUGUGCGAUGAAGGCCUUCGGGUUGUAAAGCACUUUUGGCAGGAAAGAAACGUCGCGGGUUAAUACCCCGCGGAACUGACGGUACCUGCAGAAUAAGCACCGGCUAACUACGUGCCAGCAGCCGCGGUAAUACGUAGGGUGCAAGCGUUAAUCGGAAUUACUGGGCGUAAAGCGUGCGCAGGCGGUUCGGAAAGAAAGAUGUGAAAUCCCAGAGCUUAACUUUGGAACUGCAUUUUUUAACUACCGGGCUAGAGUGUGUCAGAGGGAGGUGGAAUUCCGCGUGUAGCAGUGAAAUGCGUAGAUAUGCGGAGGAACACCGAUGGCGAAGGCAGCCUCCUGGGAUAACACUGACGCUCAUGCACGAAAGCGUGGGGAGCAAACAGGAUUAGAUACCCUGGUAGUCCACGCCCUAAACGAUGUCAACUAGCUGUUGGGGUCUUCGGACCUUGGUAGCGCAGCUAACGCGUGAAGUUGACCGCCU
rnacentral:rRNA from 1 species